rnacentral:rRNA from 1 species
AGCGGAGGAAAAGAAACUAACAAGGAUUCCCCUAGUAACGGCGAGUGAAGCGGGAAGAGCUCAAAUUUGAAAUCUAGUAGCCUUCGGCUGCUCGAGUUGUAAUCUAGAGAAGUGUUUUCCGUGCCGGCCCAUGUACAAGUCCCUUGGAACAGGGCGUCAUAGAGGGUGAGAAUCCCGUCCUUGACAUGGACCCCCGGUGCUCUGUGAUACACUUUCAACGAGUCGAGUUGUUUGGGAAUGCAGCUCAAAAUGGGUGGUGAAUUCCAUCUAAAGCUAAAUAUUGGCGAGAGACCGAUAGCGAACAAGUACCGUGAGGGAAAGAUGAAAAGCACUUUGGAAAGAGAGUUAAACAGUACGUGAAAUUGUUGAAAGGGAAACGAUUGAAGUCAGUCAUGCUCUUUGGUAUUUAUAUCAUUGAGUGGGGUCAACAUCAGUUUUGAUCGAUGGAUAAAGGCACUAGGAAGGUAGCACUCUCGGGUGAACUUAUAGCCUGGCGUCAUAUACAUUGAUUGGGACUGAGGAACGCAGCAUGCCUUUAUGGCCGGGAUUCGUCCACGUACAUGCUUAGGAUGUUGACAUAAUGGCUUUAAACGACCCGUCUU